rnacentral:rRNA from 1 species
AACGAACGCUGGCGGCAGGCUUAACACAUGCAAGUCGAGCGCCCCGCAAGGGGAGCGGCAGACGGGUGAGUAACGCGUGGGAAUCUACCGUACCCUACGGAAUAGCUCCGGGAAACUGGAAUUAAUACCGUAUACGCCCUACGGGGGAAAGAUUUAUCGGGGUAUGAUGAGCCCGCGUUGGAUUGGCUAGUUGGUGGGGUAAAGGCCUACCAAGGCGACGAUCCAUAGCUGGUCUGAGAGGAUGAUCAGCCACAUUGGAACUGAGACACGGCCCAAACUCCUACGGGAGGCAGCAGUGGGGAAUAUUGGACAAUGGGCGCAAGCCUGAUCCAGCCAUGCCGCGUGAGUGAUGAAGGUCUUAGGAUUGUAAAGCUCUUUCACCGAUGAAGAUAAUGGCGGUAGUCGGAGAAGAAGCCCCGGCUAACUUCGUGCCAGCCGCCGCCGUAA